rnacentral:rRNA from 1 species
AUUGAACGCUGGCGGCAUGCUUUACACAUGCAAGUCGAACGAGUGGCGAACGGGGGAGUAAUAUAGCGGAACGUACCGAGUAAUGGGGGAUAACCAAUCGAAAGAUUGGCUAAUACCACAUAUUAUUCGAUCGGCCGAUAACGGAUUAGCUAGUGGGGGGGGUAAAGGCCCACCAAGGCGACGAUCAGUAGCGGGUCUGAGAGGAGUAUCCGCCACACUGGAACUGAGACACGGCCCAGACUCCUACGGGAGGCAGCAGUGGGGAAUUUUGGACAAUGGGGGCAACCCUGAUCCAGCCAUGCCGCGUGUAUGAAGAAGGCCUUCGGGUUGUAAAGUACUUUUGUUAGGGAAGCGGUACCUGAAGAAUAAGCACCGGCUAACUACGUGCCAGCAGCCGCGGUAAUAC